rnacentral:rRNA from 1 species
UUAGCAUAUCAAUAAGCGGAGGAAAAGAAACCAACAGGGAUUGCCCUAGUAACGGCGAGUGAAGCGGCAACAGCUCAAAUUUGAAAUCUGGCUUCGGCCCGAGUUGUAAUUUGCAGAGGAUGCUUUGGGCGCGGCUCCUUCUGAGUUCCCUGGAACGGGACGCCAUAGAGGGUGAGAGCCCCGUAUAGUUGGAUGCCUAGCCUGUGUAAAGCUCCUUCGACGAGUCGAGUAGUUUGGGAAUGCUGCUCAAAAUGGGAGGUAAAUUUCUUCUAAAGCUAAAUAUUGGCCAGAGACCGAUAGCGCACAAGUAGAGUGAUCGAAAGAUGAAAAGCACUUUGAAAAGAGGGUUAAAUAGCACGUGAAAUUGUUGAAAGGGAAGCGCUUGUGACCAGACUUGCGCCGGGCGGAUCAUCCGGUGUUCUCACCGGUGCACUCCGCCCGGCUCAGGCCAGCAUCGGUUCUCGCGGGGGGAUAAAGGUCCCGGGAACGUAGCUCCUCCGGGAGUGUUAUAGCCCGGGGCGUAAUGCCCUCGCGGGGACCGAGGUUCGCGCAUCUGCAAGGAUGCUGGCGUAAUGGUCACCAGCGACCCGUCUUGAAACACGGACCAAGGAGUCAAGGUUUUGCGCGAGUGUUUGGGUGUAAAACCCGCACGCGUAAUGAAAGUGAACGUAGGUGAGAGCUUCGGCGCAUCAUCGACCGAUCCUGAUGUAUUCGGAUGGAUUUGAGUAAGAGCGUUAAGCCUUGGACCCGAAAGAUGGUGAACUAUGCUUGGAUAGGGUGAAGCCAGAGGAAACUCUGGUGGAGGCUCGCAGCGGUUCUGACGUGCAAAUCGAUCGUCAAAUCUGAGCAUGGGGGCGAAAGACUAAUCGAACCAUCUAGUAGCUGGUUACCGCCGAA